AUUCAAUCUUCAACACAAAGCGACAAAGCGGCUUAAUGUUGACACUGACGAAAACUGGAACUGGAAGAAGAGUUAUGAGAUCAGUGAAGACUGUUUUGUUGUGUCAGCCGCAAGCUGCCUGCAAAGCCUUAAUAUAAAUAUGCUGGCUUUGAAUCAUGUACAACAGACCACUGACGGACUUUUCAGUGAUGGGUUGACCGCAUGACAUCCUAUUGUAAUCUGCCGUUAGUUGUAGACAUGAAUAUCUGGCUGUCACUCUGGAAACUGCUGAAAAAUACUAAGACGAUACACAAGGAACGUGUACAACUUGUGUAUUUGUCGAGGCAGUCGCACGAAAGCUGGAUCAAAUUAGGCGACUUUCACUGCGCUACCCCUGGAUUGGUAUGUUAUUGCUGUACGCAUGGACAUACAGUCAUUAAGAGAGAUCCGCUGAUGUUAAUCAUGGAGAAAAAAUGCUGACUCCAAUUGCAAACCUUCCGCAUAUAGAAGUUUUAUGGGAAUCUCCGUCGGCCAAUUUUCUAUACUGAACAAGUACAAAGCUUUUUUGGAUACACCACGAAAGCAAUAAAGGACAGCUCUAGCUACAAUCACGCGUCAACUGAAGACACAGUUUUAUCAACAGUGAUACCCUUCUGUGUAGCCCUGUAUCCAACACGCCGGCCCAACAAUGUAUCGUCCGCAUCUUCAAGCGGACCCAUCAGUUCAGAUGUUGAUGUAUGUUUUCGCUGUUUGCGGCCUCUCAUCACUUGGACUUCUGUUUAUCUGUUCGUUAUGCUGUUUUCUUUGCCAUCGAAAGGAGGCCCGUAAACAAGAAGGUGUCACCACAGCGGAUUCGACGAGCGUUAACGACGUCUUCUAUCGCAAGAAGGGAAAGUCUCCUUUGAGCGCGCCAACGAUAACCUCACAAGCAGAUCUCUUUUCGCAUGGCGCUGACCCGCCCUCGUACACGCUCGAAU